GCGGGCGUGGUGGAAUUGGUAGACACGCAAGACUUAAAAUCUUGUUCCUGUAUAGGAGUGCCGGUUCGAUUCCGGCCGCCCGCACCA
rnacentral:tRNA from 3 species